CGAGCGGCAGCGCGGGGGCAACCCUGGCGGCGAGCGGCGAACGGGUGAGUAACACAUCGGAACGUACCCCGUCGUGGGGGAUAACGAGUCGAAAGAUUCGCUAAUACCGCAUACGACCUGAGGGUGAAAGCGGGGGACCUGCGAGGGCCUCGCGCGACGGGAGCGGCCGAUGUCCGAUUAGCUAGUUGGUGGGGUAAGAGCCUACCAAGGCGGCGAUCGGUAGCUGGUCUGAGAGGAUGAUCAGCCACACUGGGACUGAGACACGGCCCAGACUCCUACGGGAGGCAGCAGUGGGGAAUUUUGGACAAUGGGCGCAAGCCUGAUCCAGCCAUUCCGCGUGAGUGAAGAAGGCCUUCGGGUUGUAAAGCUCUUUCGGCCGGGAAGAAAUCGGGCAGGUGAAUAAUCUGCCUGGAUGACGGUACCGGAAGAAGAAGCACCGGCUAACUACGUGCCAGCAGCCGCGGUAAUACGUAGGGCGCGAGCGUUAAUCGGAAUUACUGGGCGUAAAGCGUGCGCAGGCGGCUUUGUAAGACAGGUGUGAAAUCCCCGGGCUUAACCUGGGAAUGGCGCUUGUGACUGCAAGGCUUGAGUUCGGCAGAGGGGGGUGGAAUUCCACGUGUAGCAGUGAAAUGCGUAGAGAUGUGGAGGAACACCGAUGGCGAAGGCAGCCCCCUGGGUCGCGACUGACGCUCAUGCACGAAAGCGUGGGGAGCAAACAGGAUUAGAUACCCUGGUAGUCCACGCCCUAAACGAUGUCGACUAGGUGUUGGGGAAGGAGACUUCUUUAGUACCGUAGCUAACGCGUGAAGUCGACCGCCUGGGGAGUACGGUCGCAAGAUUAAAACUCAAAGGAAUUGACGGGGACCCGCACAAGCGGUGGAUGAUGUGGAUUAAUUCGAUGCAACGCGAAGAACCUUACCUGGGCUUGACAUGCUGGUAGUAGGAAUCCGAAAGGUUAACGACCCCGCAAGGGGAGCCAGCACAGGUGCUGCAUGGCUGUCGUCAGCUCGUGCCGUGAGGUGUUAGGUUAAGUCCUGCAACGAGCGCAACCCCUGUGGUUAGUUGCUAUGUUCGGUGAUGAAUCGGACAGCACUCUAAUCAGACUGCCUGUGAAAAGCAGGAGGAAGGUGGGGAUGACGUCAAGUCAGUAUGGUCCUUAUGUCCAGGGCUGCACACGUGCUACAAUGAUCGGUACAGAAGGAUGCAAAGCCGCGAGGUGGAGCAAAUCCCCAAAACCGAUCUCAGUUCAGAUUGAAGGCUGCAACUCGCCUUCAUGAAGCUGGAAUCGCUAGUAAUGGCGCAUCAGCUACGGCGCCGUGAAUACGUUCCCGGGCCUUGUACACACCGCCCGUCACAUCAUGAGAGUCGACUGCACCCGAAGUCAUCUAUACAACCCGCAAGGGAGAAAGAUGCCGAAGGUGUGGUUGAUGAUUA
rnacentral:rRNA from 1 species